rnacentral:ncRNA from 1 species
UCCACCGGAAGUGAUAAAUCCAACGAUUUUGCAUCUUCAGUUUGUAAUCGCAAACCAUGCAAUGACAGAUCUUGAAUUGUCGCUUGCAUUACCGAGUCCCCUUGCUCAAUUAAAGCGGGUGCUUGGUAGAUGAUGCGCGAAAAGCGUCGUCUCUCCGUCAUGAAGGUUCUCGUAAAGUAUUUUAACUAGUGAAAGACUAUAGCAAAUAGUACAAAAUUUGUGCGGCCUUUGUUAUUAAAAUGUCGCCAUAGCAACAGAGUUGGACUGGCUAAUGGUCAUGUUAUUGACCUACUUCAGAGGCGUUCGGGCUAUUUAU